rnacentral:rRNA from 1 species
UACGUAGGGGGCUAGCGUUGUCCGGAAUCAUUGGGCGUAAAGCGCGUGUAGGCGGUCCGAUAAGUCCGCUGUGAAAGUCGAGGGCUCAACCCUCGAAUGCCGGUGGAUACUGUCGGGCUUGAGUACGGGAGAGGCGAGUGGAAUUCCUGGUGUAGCGGUGAAAUGCGCAGAUAUCAGGAGGAACACCGAUGGCGAAGGCGGUUGCCUGGAGCUUUGCUGACGCUGAGGCGCGAAAGCGUGGGGAGCGAUCCGG